rnacentral:rRNA from 2 species
GUGAACGCACCACUGGUGUUCGGGUUGUCAUGCCAAUGGCAUUGCCCGGUAGCUAAGUGCGGAAAAGAUAAGCGCUGAAAGCAUCUAAGCGCGAAACUUGCCUCAAGAUGAGUCUUCCCUGGGCCUUCAAGGCCCCUGAAGGAACGUUUAAGACUAAGACGUUGAUAGGCUGGGUGUGUAAGUGCAGCGAUGCAUUGAGCUAACCAGUACUAAUGAUCCGUGAGGCUUAACCUU